AACGAACGCUGGCGGCAUGCCUAACACAUGCAAGUCGAACGAGACCUUCGGGUCUAGUGGCGCACGGGUGCGUAACGCGUGGGAACCUGCCCUUAGGUUCGGAAUAACUCCCCGAAAGGGGUGCUAAUACCGGAUAAUGUCUUCGGACCAAAGAUUUAUCGCCUUUGGAUGGGCCCGCGUUGGAUUAGCUAGUUGGUAGGGUAAAAGCCUACCAAGGCGACGAUCCAUAGCUGGUCUGAGAGGAUGAUCAGCCACACUGGGACUGAGACACGGCCCAGACUCCUACGGGAGGCAGCAGUGCGGAAUAUUGGACAAUGGGCGAAAGCCUGAUCCAGCAAUGCCGCGUGAGUGAUGAAGGCCGUAGGGUUGUAAAGCUCUUUUACCCGGGAUGAUAAUGACAGUACCGGGAGAAUAAGCUCCGGCUAACUCCGUG
rnacentral:rRNA from 1 species